CUUCCGCCCGCCCCAUCAGCGCGCACGCGGCUACCGAGCUGGAGGAGGCAGCGGGCGUGAGACCGGGAAUGCGCAGGGCCCCCGCCUCGCCCCCCAAGCCCGGGCCGCGGCCCCCGCCUUCCCCGCAGCCGUCCGGCACUCGGUGCCCGACCCCCGAGGCCGGCGGCUGCUCCCACCCGGGGCCGUUGCUGCUUGUGCCGUGAGCGCCGCCCCGCCAUUGUCCCCGUCGCUCCGUCAGCUGCGCCAGGCGGCGCACCAGGAGGCGAGGGUGCGCAUGGGGAGCCUCCGUUGAUGCCGCCGCCGCCGCCGCGCCGCCCUCCGAGGCUGCGUCCCGGGAAGCCCGGCUCCCCAAUCGCUUCGGCCUGGCCCGGUGCCCCGGACCUGAGUGCGUCCCCAUGGAGGCGCCCGGGCUGGCCCAGGCGGCCGCGGCGGAGAGCGACCCCCGCAAGGUGGCGGAGGAGACCCCCGACGGGGCGCCCGCGCUCUGCCCCAGCCCCGAGGCGCGGUCGCCGGAGCCGCCUGCCUACCGCCUGCAGGACUUUGACACGCUGGCCACCGUGGGCACUGGGACGUUCGGGCGGGUGCACCUGGUGAAGGAGAAGACAGCCAAGCAUUUCUUCGCUCUCAAGGUGAUGAGCAUUCCCGAUGUCAUCCGCCUGAAGCAGGAGCAGCACGUGCACAAUGAGAAGUCUGUCCUGAAGGAAGUCAGUCACCCGUUCCUCAUCAGGCUGUUCUGGACGUGGCAUGACGAGCGCUUCCUCUACAUGCUCAUGGAGUACGUGCCGGGUGGGGAGCUCUUCAGCUACCUGCGAAACCGGGGGCGCUUCUCCAGCACCACGGGGCUCUUCUACUCUGCGGAGAUCAUCUGUGCCAUCGAGUACCUGCACUCCAAGGAGAUCGUCUACAGAGACUUGAAGCCAGAGAACAUCCUGCUGGAUAGGGAUGGCCACAUCAAGCUCACGGACUUUGGGUUCGCCAAGAAGCUGGUAGACAGGACUUGGACCCUCUGUGGAACACCCGAGUACCUGGCCCCGGAAGUCAUUCAGAGCAAGGGCCACGGCAGGGCUGUGGACUGGUGGGCCCUCGGCAUCCUGAUAUUCGAGAUGCUGUCGGGGUUUCCUCCGUUUUUUGAUGACAACCCGUUUGGCAUUUAUCAGAAAAUUCUUGCAGGCAAAAUAGAUUUCCCCAGACAUUUGGAUUUCCAUGUAAAAGACCUCAUUAAGAAACUGCUCGUGGUUGACCGAACAAGGCGAUUAGGAAACAUGAAGAACGGGGCAAAUGAUGUGAAACGCCAUCGAUGGUUCCAUUCUGUGGACUGGGAAGCUGUUCCGCAGAGAAAACUGAAGCCUCCCAUCGUGCCCAAGAUAGCUGGCGACGGCGACACUUCCAACUUCGAAACUUACCCCGAGAAUGACUGGGACACAGCCACGCCUGUGCCGCAGAAGGAUUUAGAAAUCUUCAAGAAUUUCUGAGGACAGGAGCUCACAUCUGGAAGAGGUCAGCGGUGAAGCAGAGCAAAGGAGAAUGAUUCCAAGGGUCAGUGACAUAAACACAGCCAUGCCUGUGACUCCAGGUCAGCAUGUGGUCGGAGGCAUCAGCAUCACAGUCCAGAAUCCAUCUUCUGCCUCAGAACCUGCACGUCUAAAUAAGACCCCUGGGUGGUUUGUGCGUCCCUGAACAUUUGAGAAGCCCAGCUCUUCUGGUCCCUGUUCCAGAAACCUCUUCCCAGUUAUGUGAAGUGGAAAGCCAGUUGGCUAACCAACACCAUUUGAAACAGACACCAAAUGUCACAGUUGCUGAUUGGGGAGAGGAACCAACCUGCUGAAAGACGGGGUGAAUGAGAGCCCUCCAUCCUGGAAACAGGAAGAUUGGAAUCAGCCUGGAACAAAGAACUGCACCUAAGCAGACCAGAAGUAAAAUGUCUUCUUCACGGCAUAAGGACAUUUCCACUUUUCUGUGUACCUGUGUGUAUAGAAAUAGAUCAGAGCACAGUUGAAAUUAAUGGAACUGGCAUUAUUUAAGCAACUGGAAUUCCACACUGUAGGAAGGUUUUGAAAAUUGUUUGGUUGUAGAUUUUAUCUUAUCCUUUAGUGUUGUGUGCCUACUGUGAUGUCUCGGUUUUUCUCAUAGACUUAAGUUUAUAAGUUUGAACUGGACUUGUUCGAUUAUAACCACAAAUUGUUGUGUGUGUGUGUGUAUGCCUGUGUGUAUAUAUAGAAGUCAUUAUGGUAGAUGCACAGAAAUUGUGCAGUGAUGUAAAUGUUCAUACUUCACAGAGCCUAUAAUUUUUAUUUUUCAAUUUGUUUUUUCAAAAAUCUCUUCUCGGGGACAACAUCUGAAGGGUAUGUUGCAUGCAUUAAAAAAAAUCAUCUCACAUGUAUUUUAUAGUUUGGGGGAAGAAAAUAUCAUGGGGAGAUCUCCCUUCAGUAUCUUUAGUGCUUCCUACCUGGUAACUUGAGAUUUUAAAAGAAGAAACAAAGAGAAGAAGAUAUGGGAGCGACUUUAUUCCAGGAAUCUACAAUGACAUUGAAGUUGUUGGAGGAAUGUACUGUAUUUAAAACAACCUUCUGUGACACAUUCAACAAUUUCAUCUGAGCUGGGUGCAGUGGCUUGUUCCUGUAGUCCCAGCACUUUGGGAGGCUGAGGUGGGUGGAUUGCUUGAGCCCAGGAGUUGGAGACCAGUCUGGGAAACAUGGUGAGACCUCAUGUCUACAAAAUACAAAAAAAUUAGCCGGGCAUGGUGGCACGUGAAUGUAGUCUCAGCUACUCAGGAGGCUGAGAUGAGAGGAUCACUUGAAUCCAGGGGGGUCCAGGCUGCAGUGAUCCGAGAUCACACCACUGCACUCCAGCCUCGGUGACAGAGUGAGACCCUGUCCAGGAAAAAAAAAAGAAGAAAAAAAAAGGCAAUGGCUUUGUGCUUUCGAAGGUGGAAUGAAGAGAACGUCCACCUUAAGGCUUUAAAAGACAGUGAAGCUGGGUACAGUGACGCACUCCUGUAAACCUGGGACUUUGGGAAGCUGAGGCAGGAAGAUCGCUUGAGCCUAGGAGUUCGAGACCGGCCUGGGCAGCAUAGCGAGUCCUCAUCUCUAUAAAAAGAAAAAAAAAAUGUUAAAACACAGUGAAAUUGCAGAAACAGAACACAGCUGCCCUUUUUCAUCAAUGACCUUUUCUUCAUGUGGAGGUCAACUCAGUAGGUGAGAAUAAUUAGUAGGUUCAGUAGAAUAAACUCUUUACAAUUAAUCAGUCAGUGGAAAAUGAUGUUCAGAUGGUGAAAUGUGGAAAUGUUUUAGACAACUGUAUUUUCAGCCUGUGCGUCUCACUCACCAUCUUGUUGGGAUUAACAGUUGAGGGCCAUCAUUGUCUCAACAUUUAGCAUGCAGUUUCCCAUCAGUUUUACCGUGAAUGUGAAAAGGUGAAACUGGUGCUGACCUCGGCAGCAGGUAUACUAAAAUUGGAAUGACACAGAGGAGAUUAGCAUGGCUCCCUUUGCAAGGAAGAUCCGUAUAUUCAUGCAGCAUUCCAAAUUCUUUUUUUUAAAAAGGUUACACUGUGCACUGAGAUGUGGAGCUAGAAGGAAAAGCAUUAGGUCUCAUGUUUGCUGACUAUACAAAUAAAUCAGUAAUAUUAUUGAACAUUCUACUUUAAAAAUUAUUAAUAAAACCGUAAAUGAAACCCUUGAGCACAUUUUAAAAAGUACAUAGACCCAUGAGUCCAUAUGCCUAUUUUUAGGUUGUCUGUUUUAUUAUCCAGGAUUUCAUACUCAGAUGAAAAUUAGUAUCAGGAAAGCCUGAAAUGCCUUAAUUGUGAACUGAUAUGCAGGAAAAUGAAAUAUGCAAGCACAUUGAUGACCUCGUUCUUUACGGACAUUGUUAGCAGCCUCUAGCCAUGCAGAACAAAUGAGAAAUUAGAAGCAAUUCCAAGAACGUGUGAUGGUGUGAAAGCCACUUUUGACCGGCGCGCACAUUUCAGCGUUUGAAGUGACACGGGCUGCCUGGUAACUGCCCAUGGCGGGGUCAUAGUUUAAAUGGCCCAAUGUCAGGCAGAGGUUAAUUUAAUCAACAUGAGCUAUAAACAUGGAACAAUCACUAUGUAUAAUUUUAAAAUAGUUUACCUGGCCAGGCAUGGUGGCUCACGCCUGGAAUCCCAGCACUUUGGGAGGCUGAGGUGGGCGGAUCACCUGAGGUCAGGAGUUCGAGACCAGCCUGGCCAACAUGGCGAAACCCCUGUCUCUACUAAAAUACAGAAAUUAGGUGUGGGGGUGCCUGUAAUCUUGGCUACUUGGGAGGCUGAAGCAGGAGAAUGGCUUGAACCCGGGAGGCGACGCUGCAGUGAACCGAGAUUGUGCCACUGCCCUCUAGCCUGGGCGACAGAGCGAGACUCCAUCUCAAAAAAAAGAAAAAAAAUAGUUGACCUGGGUGGUCAUUCCAAAAUUUUCUCAUAGAUGAUCAUGUGAAACAAUCACCGUGCAAAAUGUGGAGGAAAAUUCAUUACAAUAAUCACAAAAUUUGUAUCAGAAAAACAUUACAAAUUUACUUCAUGUAAUUUUAUGAGUUGGCAGUAUUUUCUUAAAUUGGAAUACUAUAAGAGAAUAUCUUUAGGAAAUGGAUAUGUUACAACAAGAAGUAUAUUGGGGCAAGUCUUGUUUUUCUGAAGGGAAAUGCCACCAGCCUGCUUUCAUAGGCAUUGAUAAAGCCAGGAAGGAAAUAAAAUCACAACCGAAUAGUAUACACUGUAUCUACUGAAUUCUUCUAAUUCCUUUGCAACAGAAGUCUAAAUGCUGCUUAGCCUAAACGUAUCUAUAGCCAGUGAUGGGCAAAUUCUAUUUGCUGUCAGCAUGAUAGAAUAAGAAGCAGAAAUCCCCCAGCAGUGGGGUAAGAUUGCGCGCUUCGUCCCCUCACAAUGCUGUUCAGCCCCACUCCCCUCUCCAUGCCCAUCAAACAACUGCACAGUCACUUGUUAGUGAAUUUCUCAUUCAGCGUUUUGUUUCUUUCUGUCCACACUUAAAGACCAAAUCAUUUGUUUGCUUUGAAGAAAAAGCAAACACAAGAACAAAAACACCAAAUCAUUUGAAAUCACUGCUCAUUAAAAAAAAUCACUGGUGGAACCAAACAGUUGAGUGGUUUGUGAUGUGUUCGCCAUUUCUGUGUUUGACCUACGUGGCCUCUAGUUCUUUGGACCAUUGUAACUGUGAAACUAUGGCUUAAUACUGUUAAAGACCCCAAGGCUCAACUCUGUAGCCAGGGUGCACCUCAGGCUGCACAAAUACCACACCAGAAUGUCAUAGUCAUUCAUGGCUCCACCUACUGAGUGAACAGAGUGCAAGACAGCACUGGCUUGGGUUUUACUUUUGUAGCCAGUUAACUUUGCAUCAGGUCUGCACAGUCCUUGCAGCCUUUGAUUUCUCCAGUUGUAGAGAUUUGAAAUGGGGUGCCCGGGUUCCUCUCAUUUUUCCUUCAAUCUACCUAGCAUGCAUUUUACACACAUUGGAUGAGUCGUAUGCACUGUUUUUUUCUCUUGCUGACGGAGGCAAGAAGGCCUUCUAAUUAGUCUAACUUAAAGGGAUGGGAUUCACUUAACAAAAGCAAGAAGAAAAGCACAUGAACAGGUGUCUUAAUGCAUUUCGAUAGUUUCUUGGUGGAGGGGGUGUGUGUCUUGGUGAAGGUGGGCGGUCUAUAUUUUCACCAAGCCUUUUCAUAAUCAAGUUUGCUUUGCAAACCUUAUGGCCUUGCACCCCGCAGAAGAGUCCUUCCUAAUAACAGGGGAAUGCCCUGUCAGGUUCUCUGUAAAUUACUGUGUGUUGGGAAGUUCUGUUGAGGCUUAGUUUGAUCUUCCGUGGUGGACACGUCUGUUUUGUAUGGAAAAGGCAUUACAAUUGUGUUUUAGCGGAUGGGAUUUGAAGCCGUUCCACAGUCCUUAUCCUGUGAGAUGGCUGUUGAGCUCUGCUCAGCUGUUGUAGCUGAAUUCUUGUUUUGCGCUGAACAUUGGGCAGCCUCACUAUGUUGCCACCAUGCUUCUGGGGCCCCCGUGACUGCCGCCGGAUGCCGCGCACACAGGCAGAGUGCCUUUGCAGGUUUGUGCACCCCUUGGCGAGCCAGAACUGGGAACCCCGCGGGGUGACCCCACCUUCUCAUGGGGGGUCGGGGAGGGGAGUGCCUAUUUUUAAUCCUGUCUGUUGCACAAUGGAAAUCACUGUGAUUUGCACAUAUGCCCUAGGAAAAUUUUACUGCUGUCUAAUUUAUGUAAUAAUACUGUUGAUUCCAGGUUUGUUUAAUAAAACUUUUUAUCUUUUCAGAA